ACGAACGCUGGCGGCGUGCCUAAUACAUGCAAGUAGAACGCACAGUUUAUACCGUAGCUUGCUACACCAUAAACUGUGAGUUGCGAACGGGUGAGUAACGCGUAGGUAACCUGCCUGGUAGCGGGGGAUAACUAUUGGAAACGAUAGCUAAUACCGCAUAAUAUUGAUUAUUGCAUGAUAAUUGAUUGAAAGAUGCUAUUGCAUCACUACCAGAUGGACCUGCGUUGUAUUAGCUAGUAGGUGAGGUAACGGCUCACCUAGGCGACGAUACAUAGCCGACCUGAGAGGGUGAUCGGCCACACUGGGACUGAGACACGGCCCAGACUCCUACGGGAGGCAGCAGUAGGGAAUCUUCGGCAAUGGACGAAAGUCUGACCGAGCAACGCCGCGUGAGUGAAGAAGGUUUUCGGAUCGUAAAGCUCUGUUGUAAGAGAAGAACGGGUGUGAGAGUGGAAAGUUCACACUGUGACGGUAUCUGACCAGAAAGGGACGGCUAACUACGUG
rnacentral:rRNA from 1 species